CGAACGCUGGCGGCGUGCUUAACACAUGCAAGUCGAACGAGGACUAGAGAGCUUGCUCUCUAUAGCCGAGUGGCGAACGGGUGAGUAACACGUGAUCAACCUAUCUUCUGGCGGGGGGCAACCUGGGGAAACCCGGGCUAAUACCGCAUAAAGCCUUUCCCUCGCAUGUGGGAAAGACCAAAGGGGGCCUCUGCUUGCAAGCUCUCACCGGAAGAGGGGAUCGCGGCGUAUCAGCUUGUUGGUGAGGUAAUGGCUCACCAAGGCUACGACGCGUAGCGGGUCUGAGAGGACGAUCGUCACAUUGGGACUGAGAUACGGCCCAGACUCCUACGGGAGGCAGCAGUGGGGAAUAUUGCGCAAUGGACGAAAGUCUGACGCAGCGACGCCGCGUGUGGGAUGAAGCCUUUCGGGGUGUAAACCACUGUCGGGGGGGAAGAACAACGUGCACCUGAAUAGGGUGUGCGACUGACGGUACCUUCAAAGGAAGCGCCGGCUAACUCC
rnacentral:rRNA from 1 species